UACAGAGGUCUCAAGCGUUUGUUCGGGAUUCAUUGGGCGUAAAGGGUGCGUAGGCGGCGCGGUAAGUCGGGUGUGAAAUCUCGGAGCUUAACUCCGAAACUGCGAUUCGAUACUGCCGUGCUUGAGGACUGGAGAGGAGACUGGAAUUUACGGUGUAGCGGUGAAAUGCGUAGAUAUCGUAAGGAAGACCAGUGGCGAAGGCGGGUCUCUGGACAGUUCCUGACGCUGAGGCACGAAGGUCAGGGGAGCAAACGGG
rnacentral:rRNA from 1 species